rnacentral:rRNA from 1 species
CGUGCGAUACAGGGUGACAGCCCCGUACACAAAAAUGCACAUAUUGUGAGCUCGAUGAGUAGGGCGGGACACGUGGUAUCCUGUCUGAAUAUGGGGGGACCAUCCUCCAAGGCUAAAUACUCCUGACUGACCGAUAGUGAACCAGUACCGUGAGGGAAAGGCGAAAAGAACCCCGGCGAGGGGAGUGAAAAAGAACCUGAAACCGUGUACGUACAAGCAGUGGGAGCCUCUUAAUGGGGUGACUGCGUACCUUUUGUAUAAUGGGUCAGCGACUUAUAUUCUGUAGCAAGGUUAACCGAAUAGGGGAGCCGAAGGGAAACCGAGUCUUAACUGGGCGUUAAGUUGCAGGGUAUAGACCCGAAACCCGGUGAUCUAGCCAUGGGCAGGUUGAAGGUUGGGUAACACUAACUGGAGGACCGAACCGACUAAUGUUGAAAAAUUAGCGGAUGACUUGUGGCUGGGGGUGAAAGGCCAAUCAAACCGGGAGAUAGCUGGUUCUCCCCGAAAGCUAUUUAGGUAGCGCCUCGUGAAUUCAUCUCCGGGGGUAGAGCACUGUUUCGGCAAGGGGGUCAUCCCGACUUACCAACCCGAUGCAAACUGCGAAUACCGGAGAAUGUUAUCACGGGAGACACACGGCGGGUGCUAACGUCCGUCGUGAAGAGGGAAACAACCCAGACCGCCAGCUAAGGUCCCAAAGUCAUGGUUAAGUGGGAAACGAUGUGGGAAGGCCCAGACAGCCAGGAUGUUGGCUUAGAAGCAGCCAUCAUUUAAAGAAAGCGUAAUAGCUCACUGGUCGAGUCGGCCUGCGCGGAAGAUGUAACGGGGCUAAACCAUG